UGUUUCUCAGAGUUUUCUCUUCAGUUGUGAAGAGCUCGGGGUAAAGAUGUUGUGCUCGAUCUAAGGAGCGUGUUGGUGAAAGUGAAAGCUAAAUAUCGUGAUCGGAACUGUGUUCGCGUAGCUUCAUUUUUGCUUUCGUUUAUCUAAGAAAGGAUGUUUCGGACACACUCUUUCAUCACUAGAUGACGGGUGUGUGUUUCUACAUUACUGGUCCAGCACAUGGAGGAUCUGUUCACACGGAUGAAAUGAAGACCAGAGUAGAUACAGAUGUGCCAAAGCAAAGAUGUCUCCUCCUGGACUCUGAAGAGAAUAAACUGAAGAGAUCUCGGACACUUCUUAGUCAAAGCAGUGUUGGCUUCUGUGGGACUCAGUUGUCCAGCAUAGAGUCGUCUGUUCGGCCGUCCUUAGCUUCAGUAAAUCAGAUGGAAGAGGACAUUAAAAAGAUGGAGAUCAAGGAUCCAGCUGACAGAUCAUCAGUCUCUCACACACAGAAGGACAGACAAAGACAAACUAACCAAGAUUCUUGUCCGUACAGGGGUCUGCUGAAUCUGGGAGCCACCUGCUAUCUGAACUCAACCCUCCAGGUGCUGUUCAUGACCCGAGCGUUCAGAGAGAGCGUGCUGCGCCGAUCUCCUGGGGACACAAGUGAGAAGUUCGAGACAGUAUUAAAGGAACUGUUUGAAGAGCUCAGUGAUCAGGACGAGGGUGCUCCGAGCGUCUCAACGAAACCAGUAAUCAAGGCUCUCGGUGUACAGACACUCUAUGAGCAGCAGGACGCUGUGGAAUACUUCCUAGAUAUCCUUGAGAAAGUAGGCCCUGAUUUGGCCGAGGUCUUCAGUGGAACUAUGAGGAACAAGAGGAGAUGUUCAGAAGAUCACGAGUCUCAUGAUGACAGCUCGUUCAAGUCUCUACAGAUCGCUCUGAACGUCACAGACACAGGAGCGUACAGGAUAGAAGACGGGGUUCGAUCUUAUUUUGAAUCUACAACAUUAGUUGGAGACGACCAGAUGUACUGUGAAACCUGCGACGAGAAACGAGACACCACAUGGGGUUGUGAGAUACACAAGUAUCCAGCAAUACUGUCUCUGCACCUGAAAAGGUUUGAGUAUGACUGCUGGUCGUGUGGGUUUGAGAAGAACGAUUGCCCCAUGGAUGUACCGCUUCAUUUAUCUCUCGGGGAGCACAGAUAUGCUCUCUAUGCCGUGAUCAAUCACAGGGGCAGUCGUUCUGGGGGUCACUACACCGCGGACAUCCGCUCGUUCACUGAGAACAGGUGGUACUGUUUUGAUGACAGUCAUGUCACAGAGAUUGAUGAGCGCAAACUGGAAAGGUCUAGGGAAGCUUACUUGCUCUUGUACCAGAAACUCGACAGUCCUCCAGUUUCUAAGACGAGGAAAGUAACCCAGAAUUCUGCCAGAACUGAAGAACCAUCUUCGUCAGUUGCACGGGUGGAGGACGAAGAAGAACCCAAAACUAAAUCUGCUGAAGCAGGAGAACCGGUGGAAACGGGCAGAGCUGGGCAGUGUGCUGCAGCUCAUAAUAAACCACAUCUGGAAGAGUCUGCUGUGACGCGGCGUCUGAGACAGAGACUUUGUGAUGAGCCCAAGAAACCACAUAAAAGAAAGCACGAGAAAACUGAGAGCAUGCAUAAAAAGGAGAAAGCCAGUAAAAGAAAUGUCAAGUCUAAUCACGAAGAGACAGAGACGAGAGAGAUCGACAUCAGAAGCAGAAAGAUGUAACAUAUCAUGAAGAAAAGAGACAAAACUGUGUGUGAUAAUUUGUAAAAGUUUUAAUUAAUGUGCAUUCAGUUUAAAAUGUGAAUCAUAGUUUAUGUACAUGUGUACAGGAACUGCUGAUCUGUUAAAUAUUAUAUAAUGUCUGUACUCGGACAUCGAAAUCCCAAGGGUUUCUCUCCAUUUUCUAUCACCGAAGUUGACUGAUUGCACGGACACUAUUGGACGAGAGCUGAACUGGAUGAUGACAUCACUGAAUCAUUCGUCAUCAGUUCGUUCACCAGUUUCUGCUCUGAUUUAUAAUUCUCCAUGUAUCUUACGAAAGCGUAUUGUAUUCGUCAAACAAGCAACUAUCACCAGUCAACUACUUCAACUACUGUGAUGCAGAUUUACAGCUGUUCACAGAAAAUAAAACUGGUAUCUCACUGAUAUAUAUAUACUGU